AGAAUUUCGAAAUGUUGAAGAAAACGAACUUCGCAUAUAAUUAUGCUUUUUUAGAAUUAAAAACUAUACAAUUAUCUUUGGCUCAGAAUAUAAAACAAGAUAAAUAAAACUUUUAUGUUGGCCGAAAAUUAUUGUACAAGUUCAUUUAACAAAUAAUCUAUACACAUACAUGACAUAGAGUAUACACAAUUGCGGGCCCUACAAAAAUAACCCGCCAAACAAGCCCGCAAAAAAAAAGAUAAAUAACUAAAAAAAAGAAUUUAAAACAAAACAAAACAAAACACUCUUAGAAUAGCAAAAAAUCAGACCCACAAACUGAUAUACACUUGUGUAAGCCUGACGAGACUCAAGAAAUCAAACGAUACUUUCUUGUAAAUCUCCUACUGAAGAUCCAAAGAAUAUGUUACUUCUUUGAAAAUCUUCUGACUCAACGAAUAAAGAACUUCAUUGUAAGCCACAUACUAGAAUGGUUAUCUACAAAAUAUGAACAAAGAAAAAAUUAACAUACAACUACUUAAUUAAACAUAUACAAUUUACAAAUGCGAAAUGACAUGAAUAAAACACAUUCUAAGCUGGACAACUCCAGCUUCAUUUAAAUGCAAACCUCC
rnacentral:lncRNA from 1 species